GUGAGGAAUAUUGGUCAAUGGGCGGAAGCCUGAACCAGCCAUCCCGCGUGCAGGAAGACGGCCCUAUGGGUUGUAAACUGCUUUUCCGGGGGGAGAAUUUUUCCGUCGUGACGGGAAUUGACGGUACCCCGGGAAUAAGCAUCGGCUAACUCCGUGCCAGCAGCCGCGGUAAUACGGAGGAUGCGAGCGUUAUCCGGAUUUAUUGGGUUUAAAGGGUGCGUAGGCGGAAUGAUAAGUCAGUGGUGAAAACCUGCAGCUUAACUGUAGACUUGCCGUUGAUACUGUCAGUCUUGAGUGUGGUCAAGGUAGGCGGAAUGUGUAAUGUAGCGGUGAAAUGCUUAGAUAUUACACAGAACACCGAUUGCGAAGGCAGCUUACUGGGCCAUUACUGACGCUGAUGCACGAAAGCGUGGGGAUCGAACAGGAUUAGAAACCCGGGUAGUCC
rnacentral:rRNA from 1 species